GGUUCCGUAGUGUAGUGGUUAUCACGUUCGCUACACAUGGAAAGGUUCCGGUUCGAUCCCCGGGACGGAACCA